rnacentral:lncRNA from 1 species
AAGCUGGGUCGAUGGGUUAAAUGGUCGAUGGGUCGAUCUUAUUGGUAAGGAUGUAGACCGGAUGGAAAGAUGGUGAAGAUGGCCGACUUGCUGUUCCUUUUAAUCCAAUCUAACCUGGAAAAAAAUGAAGAACAAUGAUUUUAUGAAUAAUUAAAAAUAAGAACAGAAACUGAAAAGAUAAAGGGAUGGAAUGAUUAAUGAGUAGUUGUUUGAAGAUGGAUGAUGGAAGGAUGAUGUUGGAUAGAUAAUGAUUGACUCUCUCAAUCUGUGGGUAUUGAUUGACUCUCUCAAUCUGUGUCUCAAGGCUCCUGAAUCUCUCAAUGAACCUAUGAACCAUGAUCUCUAGAGUCUCCUAAUGGAUCUCACACUUAGAAACUAAAGAACAACUCAAAGAACACUCAGUAACUGAAAAUACAUAUGUAUGCUUUUUUAAUUGAUUGAAAGGUGAAUCUAAAAUGUAAAAAAUGGUAUGCUUAUACAGGGCAAGACCUUAGACAUAGAUCAAAAGGUCAUAUGAAAAUAAUGGAAACAAAAAUAAACAAAAGGCUGUAAUGGUGCUGAUCAUGAUCGAAAUAUAGCCGUUGGAGAGAUAUCUUUGGAAUUU